GACGAACGCUGGCGGCGUGCUUAACACAUGCAAGUCGAACGGAAAGGCCCUGCUUUUGUGGGGUGCUCGAGUGGCGAACGGGUGAGUAACACGUGAGUAACCUGCCCUUGACUUUGGGAUAACUUCAGGAAACUGGGGCUAAUAGCGGAUAGGAGCUCCUGCUGCAUGGUGGGGGCUGGAAAGUUUCGGCGGUUGGGGAUGGACUCGCGGCUUAUCAGCUUGUUGGUGGGGUAGUGGAUUAGCAAGGCUUGGCCGGGUAGCCGGCCUGAGAGGGUGACAGGCCACAUCGCGCCUGAACUGCGGCACAGCCUCCUCCGCGAGGCAGAAGUGGGGAAUAUUGCACUAUGCGCUGAACGCUGAUGCAGCCACGCCGCGUGCCGGAUGAGGGCAUUCGCGUUGUAAUCCGCUUCCGCCUGUGACGAAGUGUGAGUGACGGUAAUGGGUAAAGAAGCACCGGCUAACUCCGUG
rnacentral:rRNA from 1 species